UAUAAAUCCCCAGGCUGAAGCGAGUGAAGCUUCAGUGGGGAGAAGCAGUGCAUCUUAUCCUAGGACUGGGCAGCUCCCCGCGCAAGGUGUCGCUGACAGGGCUUGGCUUUUGCCAAGAUGAGCCCAAGGUAGGAAGCUGCGCCCGUGUGCGCCUGUUCGGCGUGUGCACGCGAAGCCUGGAAGGAUUUUCUGUGGAUCCACAAACUGGAUUUCCAAGGAGGAGCCGGUCUGAGCACACGCCGCUUCCAUGUGCUACGCAUGGCCCAUCCCGCCAGGGGGUCCUGAGGAAAGGGUCGCAGCUGCUUGAGCUCUGCCCGGAGCUCUGGGCCAUGUGCUGGGCAGAAAGCUGAACCGAGACCGAGAGAGAGAAGCAUCUAGAGACGUGUAGAGGAGCGCGCCUCUCUCCACCCUCCUGGGGGUCUCCUGGAUAUUUCUGAGGGUAAGAGUGUCUUCUCCCAGCAGGCAGCCAAGGCUGUCUCUUUUCCUCCUUGUCUAGUGGAGUUUCCUAGGUGUAGCAGUUUCCCAGGAGCAUUUGUGAGCAGGAACCUGAAUCAAGAAAGAAAACGUUGAGUUGCCCAGUCCACUCCCCAUGCCCAGGAGACCCCGAAAAUUAACAAGGACAUUCUUGUUGGGCCCUAACCUGUGUAUUUGCAAUGUUUCUGCUCCCUGGCAAGGCUGUGGUGUGGGAAUUGGAGGGAGGCCUUGCUCUGAUAGAGAAAGGUUCAAGUUCACUGUCCAGGACCAGCUUUAGACAGCCAGGAAGCCCGCUGUUUUGAAGAGGAGGGUAAAUGGUAGGGGUGGGGGUGGGGGGGCUGGUGGCCAGCUCAGUUGCUCAGAAUCUUGUGAGGAAUGGUAGCAACUUCCUGGUGCCCGUGCCAGGCUGCCCCACAGCACAGUUGAGGGGCCCCCUUCCCGCGGUAGUCUCUGUGAAUGCCUCCCUAUGGAGUUGGGCUACGCGGAGACCCCGAUGCCAACCCCAACCCCAGAGAGCACCACAGAGGGAGCUAAUGCCACCUCAGGGGACUGAACCCCAAAUUGCAAAGGUGUCACAGACACUGGCUCACGAGGAGGCCGCGUCCCUCUCCCAGCUGUGACCUCUUUGUCCUCUACCCCGAGAGCCUCGGCCUCUAUUUACACUAAAUAGACGCAGCGCCAUUUGCCGGUUGCUGUAUUUUGGGCAAGCCCAGCUGGCGGCCCCCGCAGCCAGUCUGAGCAGGCAGCCGGCCGGGCGGAGGUCACGAGGAAGGGCCUGCUCUUCCAACAAAGUUUAGCAAACACCUUAUCUCCCCAGAGCAGGUGAGGUAAUGUUUAUGAAAGAUCGCUCUGUCCCCUUCCACCGGGCGGGGGUGCAGCUGUGACUCCCCUCAGCUACCCUGCCUCCCCCGGGCAAGCCCACAGAGCCUCAGUGUCCUCGCCUGUAAAGGGGACCCAGCUCAUGCGGUCGCCCUGGUGCGGAAACAAAGCCCGCACAUAGGGCUGAGCACGGCGCUCUGCGAGCAGGCCAUCCUCAGCGAGCAUCACCGCGGUCACCAUCCCGGCUCCAGUGCGCCAGGCCUGCUGUGUGGGAGCCAGGCUCUCACAGAUGUGGCACAGCUGGGCUCUGAACGCACCCGUCCAGUCUCAAAGCCAAUGACCUCACCCCGACCAGCCUCUGCGUUUUCCCUCAAAACAGCCUGAAUUUCCUCCCCCCCCCCCCCGCCCCGUGGUCUUGCCAAGAAGAAAAUCUAGUUUUCCAUGAACACUGAGGAGAAAUGAACCCGUUUCCAAGAACCUCAGAGGAUGAUGGGAGCGUCUUUCCUUGCAGGGUCUUCGGCUUCAGCCCCAUGUGUGUCUCCCGGUGCCGGGAAUUCCUCCCACAGCCCGUGACCUCUAGCAGACGCAGGGCAAAGUUCAAAACAGCCGCUGUGCCCCACACCCUCACUUCUGCAGCAAGACCCAAGGACUCCAGAGCAGCAGUUUUCAUUUGACAAUCAAAGACGCUGUUUAUCAUUUGGCUCCAAACACAUUCUAUGUUGAAAAAUCUUGGCUAUUAUUUUAUCAGCGUCAAUCAAUGGCAAAUUAUGUGUCCCAUUCUAUCCCAAAUGAAGACUUCGGAUUGGUGUGGGGCGAUCAGUGCACGGCAGUGAUUCGGUGCCCAUCACCUGCCAGGGGGUCUGCUGGACAAGCACGUGAUGGUCUUAGCUCAUUGAAUUCUCCCACCAACCCUCAGAGGUCACUACCUGCAUUAUCCCCACGACACAAGUGCAGGGACCUGUGCUCAGGAAGGCCACCGAGCUAGGAAGGGGCAGAGCUGGGAAAUCAGAGCUGGGCCGGGGAGGAUCGUCACUGGCAACAUACUGAGGCCGGCAGGGUAUGCACCCAGGCAUGUGCGACCUGGAGCCCUUGAAUGCCUCUGAGGGCCCUGCCAGGGUGGGCCUCCUCCAUGCGAUGUCUCCCAGGGCUUUAGGUGGCUGAGGAGCUGCGGAGGGUUAAGGUGAGACCCAGGAGGACCCCCAGCCAUCCUGGGAAGCCGGACCGGUGCACACAGGACUUCUCAGCACGGCACAUGGUGACUGCUCACCCGACAGGACACAGGCUUCCCAUAGGGCGGCAGGUUGGAUCAGGUGACCCAUGAGGCAAGAGAGUAGAGUGGUCAGCACAGGGGCUUGCAAACUGGGCAGGCAGGGAUUCUUCCCUCUGAUAGGUCUGUGAACCGGAGCGAGGCUUCCGUGACUUGGUUUUAUCGCCUGUAAAAUGGGUCAGUACAACCUACCCCAGUGUUCUUCUGAUGAUUUGGUGAGAGAAGACGUUACCUGACGCCUGGAAGACAGCAGGUGCUUGAUAAUUGAGAGUUGCCAUUCUUACUACUGGGCGGGUGAUGCUCUAGGAGUCUCCCUUGGUCAUAAACUUGAAAUAUUAAUUUCUGCCUCAUCCAGAGGCUGGGGCACAGUAAGACAGGGCUGUGGCUCUAGCCCUGGCCACCUCCAGCUCCAGAGCAGCCCUCCAUGGGUCGUCGCUCCCGCUUCACAGCCUGGGAGAGGCGUGCCUCCUCUGUGCCAGGACAUGUGCUGGACAGUGGACCUGGAGAGUUGAAAAGCCAAGGAAAGAGAGAACAAAGGAAGGAUGGAAGAGAAGGGUGGGGAGAGAGAGGGGGGAGAGAUGCAGAGGUGAUACUGGGAGGCGGGGUGUUGUGGCUGGUGAGGGACACAGGGUCUGGCAUCACAUAGGCCUGGGCUGGAUGCCUGGCCCUGCCCUUCGCCACGUGUAACUUGGGGCAAAUCACCAGCUCUCUCUGUGCCUCCGUUUUCUCAUUUGUAAAGUAGGGUUACGGAUGGUUCCUCCUCCAGAAGUUUGCCUUUGGGGAAGCUGU